rnacentral:tRNA from 1 species
GCGAAUGUGGCGGAAUUGGCGGACGCACCAGACUAGGACCUGGCGCCAUUGGCGUGGGGGUUGACUCCAUUCAUCCGCACCA